AGGGGUGUAGCUCAGUCGGUAGAGCAUCGGUCUCCAAAACCGAGGGUCGGGGGUUCGAGUCCCUCCGCCCCUGCCA
rnacentral:tRNA from 3 species